rnacentral:lncRNA from 1 species
GGGGAGGGAGGGAGGGAGGGAGGGAGGAAGGGAGCAAGAGGGCUCGCCAGAAGCUGUUAAUGUCGCCCUCCUCUCCGGUGGCUUGGAGGUCAUGGAGGGAGGGGAGGCACUGAAGCGCGCGAGUAGAGCGAGGGAGUGGAAGAGCCGGAGGAGGAGAGGACGAACAGAAUGUCACGAGCGCUGCGGGAGUCCAACUCGAGGAAAGGGAUCGGAUAAGGAACAAGGACAGAGAU